rnacentral:lncRNA from 1 species
CAUCUACUAAGUAAAGGCUCAAGAUGAUUUUUUUGAAGCCCCAAUCGAUAUUUAAAUCUAAUAAGCAAAGCCCAACAUGUUUGAAACUUCUUAUUAGUGCCUAAUAACCUAUUCACUCGUUUUCCUCAUCUCUCUCUACUCUCAAGUCCCAAAUCAACAAACCCUCCUCCUGCACCUGCUCCUUCAAGUCCGCGAUCGCUCACCGUCGCAACGCAGCCGUCGUCUUUGCCCUCCACCUUCUCCCCAAACAAAUCUGGCCGAAAAGCCAGCAGCACGUGCGACCGCCGUCCCAACGCUGCUGUCAUCUCCCUCUGCCAACGACAGGUCAAACAACAUCAACCACUUCGACCGCCGGCUUAGCCGUCUGUUCAUUUCCCAGACACCACCUCUUCUUAUCCAUCUUUUUUCUAAAGCUCUUUAUCCUUCUUUCUAGUUCUUCAUCUCUCCACUCGAUUCACACAAAUUGCUUUUGAAAAAAUUGAAUAAUUUGACUGAUUUUCCUAAUUUUAUGUGUAAUUUUGGUGAUU